UGUUAAAAGCACACAUAUUUGUAAAAAACUCUGGGCUGCCUGAUGUGCUGGAAACUUGCUAGGUGCCUAUUAUGUUUCAAACUGAAUUUUUUCCUGUUCACUUCUUGCCAGGUUUUCUGUAGUCCCAAGGGGUAAAGUUCUCAUCUGUCAAUUCCAAAUUACUGAAAACCACAAAGUUGAGAAUAUUACAAUUAUCAAAAUCUCAAAAAUGAUAAAUGAAGGGUCUAUUUAGAAUAUUUUUCUAUGUGAUCUCCAGCUGUGAUGAAUUCAGUCCCCACUCUUCAAGUCCUGAGUCCUUUGUUCUGCACUGAUGGAAACAGCUUCAUACAAUUUCCUAUGUCCCACAGGAACAGUUCACUGUGGUCAUUACAUUAAUUAAUCUUUCCUCUGAACUUGCAAUGUCCUUAAUACUAGAUUUGUGUUUGUUGUCAAAUUCCAUCUGCAAAUUUGUAAGUUUGUAAUUUUCUUCACCUUUCCUGACAGUCAACACCUUCCUUCCUCAGUGUUCGUGAUAUCCAGAGCAAAAAAGGGGAAAUUGAAAUACAGGUCAACUAGACAGUCUUUCUGUAUAUCAGUUUGUUUUUAUUGUUUAUUAAAAAUGGAGAAAACCUGAUUAAAAAAGCGAAAUCCUUAUUAAGUACACUGUUAAAACUAAGAGAUAAUUUGGUGUUCUUGCUACAGGGAAGCUUGGCACGUUUUUCUUUCUUGCACAUUUUCCAGCACUAUUUUUCUCCAUCACUUUACAUCCAUUGCAGGAGAGCAAAGCCUCUCCCUGAACAAAGCUCUGCAGACAAACUGGGAUUACAGACUGCAUCCUGAUUUCCUGUAUGUUAGAGAAAAUAUAAUAUGAUGCCAAUUACUUCAGGGAGGAAUGGCUUUGGAUUUAUACCACUGUAUCUGAGAUCAUAAUUCUUCUCCUUGUGAGUAAUUGGGGUCACGUGUCUUCCUUUUUAACUUCACCACUGCAAUGCCUACGCCUCAUGCUGGAGGGUGAGUAGCCUGAACCAUCCCAGAUGACUGAGUCAUGAACAUUUUUUCUAGAUGAAUACAUGAGAGUUUAUAUGAGAGCAAGUAAUUGCUCUUCAUAUGUGCCUGGGAUAUUAUUUCAUUAACCAAACUACUCCCUGUUCAUGCAGAAGCCCUAAAGAUCAAGCAGCUUCUAGUGCCAAAUUAAGCUUUCCUUGGGGUUAGAGCACAAAGCCAAAACUUUUGGGUCCUUUUUCAUUGCCUUCCUCAAUUUGUGACUUUAGACAAACUCCCUGGGAUCUCUGUAUAUCAGUUACCUGUCUAUAAAGUCGAAUGAGUGCUUAAUUUACAAGGGAAAAGAGAUGUGAAAGUUAAGCAUAAGGGGCCAGAUUCUGUCCUUUUACUCAUACUGAAACAGUCCCAGGCUCUGUGUUCCCUGACUGGCUCCAUGACAUCACCAAGGAAAGCUGCACUUGGUGUAAGUUCAUGUGUUUAUCCCAGCUCUCCAGGUAGGCAAAACACUCUGGAACAGGCUGAAAUUCUCCAGUGAAAGCUGCCCUAUAAAUGCAAAAUGUUCUUGUGACUCAGGUUCACUCUUUGUUUGGGUACAGAUUCAACAUCUCACUUCCUUGGCUUAUGAGACAGGCUGUUAUUACAACACUCUUUCCUACCUCCUAACACCUACUUAAACAGAAAUCACUUCUUACUGGUCUCAUGUUCAGGGCACAGAAAUCUAUUUAAACUUCCCCUCUGACAUGAAGGAAAUCAUUAAAAGGCAUUGCUGUCUUCUUACACCAAACCACUACAGGUAAAACCUUCAGCAUGUCUUUAACUCUGCUUUUCUUAGGAAGGACCUCAGCUUCUGAGGCUGAAGAGACUUCUCUGAAGCCAUGAGCAAACAGCAUGAGAAAGCAAGGGCAUGGGGGAAAAAAGAAGUUCUGCUCCCAAAGGAGGUGUUUAACAUGGCUGAAGAAGGGAAUUAAGACUUCAGACUGAGACUUUAGCACCAUGUUAGUAUUUCAUCAUCCCUGAGCUGGAAUGGUUUCACUUUACACUAUGGAAGUGCAAACAAUAUUUGAGGAGCAGAUACCUUGUGGAGCAGAUACUGCACUGACUCUUAGGUUGUCCUGCAUCCCAUGGAAAGGGACCAGUGAAGUCAUAAGAGAAAUACAGAGAAAGAUACCAAAAUUUUAUUAAAUUAUGCUCAAAAAUAUUGUGCAUCUGUCCAGAGAAAUCUCAAUAUUGAGACAGCCAGGAAGUCAAUUACUUCUGUGGUGGUGGUGGCACCACAAAAAUUGGAUUCCCCAAGAGGAGUGGAUUCAGUGACUGGAUUCAAGGCUGGAUUUAAGUGGAUCUCCCUCAGGAUCUGGAUGCACAUGAUUGUGAUGUUUGCUGGCUGUCUUUUUUUUUUUUCUCUCAACUGUUUUAUUUGGACCUCUGUACUAGAUUGUGGAUUAUCUAUAGGUGAGGUACCACAACUGCAUGGUGAGAAAUGUACUCAUGGUCUUCAAAAUUUGUUAAGAAAUGAGGGUUCUGCUCCCUGAUGAAGAUAGCAGUUUUAUCAUUAGCCAGAGACAAAAAAAAAAAAAACCAAAAAAAAAAAAAAAAACCAAAAAACCACCAAAACAAACAACAAAAAAACCACAUCGAUGCUGCAUAUUUUUAUGUGUGAGUUCAGGCCUCUUUGUGCUGAUUCUGCUUCAAUGAGGGCUCAGUCUGGGGGCAAACAAGGGAAGAAACUGAAAAUCUUCUUUGUUGUAAUGAUUGCUUGAGUAUGUCUACAUAACUGCAAAGCCCUUCUCUUAACAUCAAUAAGUAGGACUGACCAGAUAUAAAGGCAUAUUGUUGCCUGCAAAGGAAGGCUCUGCACUUAGGUAUUCCAGUAUUCCUCUGCUGCUGGAUUUGGUAUCACAUUACAGGAAGCCUGACUAGACAAACCUUGGUGAGAUCUCAUGGCCUCAUACUCUUUGCUGUUGUUUUACACACUGAUCUGCAGAUGCUGAUCUGUUUUGGAGAAAGCAUAGGCUGGCUCUGCAUCUUUUGCUAUUCAAAAAUAACAAAGUUUCAGAGUCCUAUUUCCCAGAAGACCUAUGAGGAUGAAGUUUUGGACCAUAUUUUGUCUCUUCAAACCAAGAGUAUCUUCAGGAGGAAGUGCUCAAAGGAUAACAUAUUUUUAUUGUGCUGGUCAGGCUUUUAAUUCCACAGGAAAUUUGAGGGAUGCAGCUAUGAGUCUCUGUGUGGUUAACUCCUGAGACAUUUAAUUAAUUGAAAUAUUAUAUUUCACACUUAGUGGAAAAAAAAUCAAAACAACCAAAUUAACAAAAAACCCAAAAAAUUUUAAAAAGAAAAUCACAAACCUCUAGUACCUGCAAUAUAAUAAAGAGGAUCCUCUCCUUUCUUUCCUACAUGAACAUCUACGUCAUUUUAUUAUGACCAUUCCCUAUUUGCUUUUCCUUUCUCUAUUUACUUUUUCCUAACACAGCUUUGUUAGUCUACAGCACCUAUUUAGCAAUAGCCUGUUUGGGUCUAUAUGUUCAGCAAAAUCUUGCAAGUUACUCCUUGGCAUCUUAAUUGCAUUUCCAAACAACUUGUUUUUCAAGUUCUCCACCUGCUACCUCAUCACAGCACACAGGAACAUACACACUGCUUUCCAGACCCAUGCAGGACCUGGAAACAAGUGCAGCUAAAGCAGAAUGAACCAAGGCAAACUCAGAAAAGGCACUGGAAGCUUUCUUCACAGAUGAAAAUAAGGAAAAAGAAAUACAUGUGAUUUACUGAGCAUGAAAUCUUCAGAUGAAGAGGAUCAGACAUUGCAAAUUGUCAUCAUCCAUCAUGAAUUCUGGGCUACAGAAGCACUGAGUACAUCAGGGGUACCAUGAGCAGCUGGCUCUUUUGUAAAAGAGCUUGUGUUUGGAUCAAGACAAGCCCACUCAGAAAAGCUGUGAACCAGAACUCUUCACAGCUACCAACAAUCAUUCUUAUACUGUUUACCCAAGCCCAGUUCUCCUAAAUGCUUCUGUGUUAGAAAAGGACACUUUGUAUUGUUGGUAAAUGGCCAAAUGAGGAAGUGUGAAACAUGAGUCACCAAACCACAGAGAGAAAAUGUAAUGAGAGCGACCACAGCCCCCUCACUGCCCCUUGUUCCUUCCACAGCACCUAAAGCAGUUUCCUGCAGCCCUGGCCUCCAGCAAGAGCUAAAUUAGCUCACUAGUGUGGAUAAUGGGGAGGGAUAUUUAUUCCAGCUGCCCCAGAUGUGUGUCUACAUGUCCAACUUAUCUAACCAGCCUGUAAUUUUAGUAAGCACAUUUAUCCUGAUAUCACACAUGUGACUUCAGGGCUUGCAGACCUAAGCUUCAUCUCAAAGGAUUCAGGUGACCAAAUACCUUCUGAAGAUAAUGAAGCAACGUGGCUGAUGUCUGUGCUGAGAAUUCAGGCAGGAAUCCUGGCAUUGCUGUCUCACAGAACUGUUCUCUCCAGGUCUGGUACCCAAAGCAUUAAAAUACCUUCCUCAAAUGUUAAGAUGGGUCAGAAUCAAAGGAAAAUCACCCUGACAGCUGGGCAUAUUGAGCCCAGGCAGAGAAUAAUAUAGAAACAAAAUAUUGAGCCAGAAUUGUGAGCAAGGAGGGAAGAAAGGACUGUGCAGAUGAAUUGUAACUAAAACCUAUUUGUAGGUAACAUUUGUGUCAAAAAACAAACAAAAAAACCCUCAAAAAACCAAAACAACAAUGAAAUUAAAUACAAAAUGCAAAACAACUACAGAUUGUUACUGCUAACUCUACUAAAUGUAAAAAGUGUGGAAAGCAGAAGGGGAAAUCAAUGGUGUGAGAAGGACAGCAAUAACUUGCUAUUAAAUCUUCAUUGCAUCUGUGUAACCUCCUCUUCACCUAAAUUUGAACCUGGGCUUGCUCUUAAUGGCACCUAUCUUGUGUCAAGUGAAAAUUUCCCCCAGUAAAUGCACAUGAAGAGAAGACAUGAAAAGAAAGUUAUUGUGGGAGAGUUGUGCUGAUGAGGGUAACUGUAGGAAUCAAAUGAGAAUUUGGCCUUGUGGAAGAGCAAUAUUUUCAAUGUUCUGAGAGGUUUUCACAAAUAACUUGGCAUACACUUUGAAAAUGUCCUUGAUGGUGCCCUUCUGACAAGAAGAAAGCCAGUGAGCUCAGGUUACAGCAUCAGAUAUGCCGAGCAGCUGGUGUGGAGGAAGUAUUGAUGCCCACAAAUCUCCUGUGUAAAAUCAAACACAGACAAUUACCUCGGUUAUGAACCAUGGUGGUGUAACAGGCUUCAGCCAGCAGCCUGUCCAGCUGCUCCUUGGCACGGAUCCUUGACAGACCUUGCAGUCGGUCCUAAAUCUUCAGCUACUUCCCAGCCAGGAGCUGUACUGACUGCAUGAAGCACUCACAGAGCUGCUGAUGGCUGCCCUUUUCCUAGAGAUAUGGGCAGCUCAGCCAAAUUGCCUUUAAUAGGCUCUUUCCCAGGCUUUCCCAGCAAAACAGCAUGAGUGGAGGGGGAAUAUAGUCCUGAAGAACUUCCCAGACAAUUGCCAUUAGGAACAGAGCUGAAUUAGCUGAAGAAAUCUGUGCUCCCAUCCUAAUAGAAGAGAGAGGAACACUCAAAUAAACCAGCUCUGCCCAGCCCAGGUAACUCUGUUGCACAAAUGCCUAUCAGUGAGUCCCUGUUAAAGACCUCUGGUGUCCCUUGAAGAGAUUUAGAAUGGGACAGAAUUCAAUCCUUUUACCUUCCCUUCUGCACACUUUGUUCUUGACAAGGCCUCCUGUUAAAUAUCCACUCAUUUUUUUUCCUGCCAUCCUUCUCAACAUGCAAUUUUUACAUGUUUACCUGUGAUUCCCUUCCCCUGCCUUUGACAUCCUUUCUGCCCAAGCUGCUCCAGAGAUGGACCAGAACCCUGUGUACAUAACAGAGUGGAUAAUGGAUGAGUACACUCUCAUGCUCCCAGGUUUGUGCUCCCUCCAAAGCAGAUCAAUUCUGCGUGGUACAAACAGUAUUUCCAGACUAUGUUUUAAGCAUUUAAGCUGAUGAAGCAAAGAUUAGCAUCUCAGAAGUCUAUUUCCAAACUUAGGAGGGUUGUUUUUUUACCCAGUAUGCGUAUUUAUAUAUAAUUAAUGAAGUCUAAGGCUUGUAGUACAUGCCUCUAUCAUUCCUGUAUCACUCCUGAGUACAUCAGUUAUAAAUUAUUGCUAUUAUUGGUCCUUUCUAGUUCUCUCAUAAGAAGCUAAUAGUAGAAAGGAAGAUCAUUCUGUUUUUUUUCAGAAAUUAAGCCCCAGUAUCACUCAGCACAGGGCUGAGCUCAGCCUUUUUCUACCUGUUUUACCUGCCUGAAAUCUACAUUCCCCUCUCAAACUGUAGGGUUGAGGAAUCAGGGGAAAACAGUCGGAUUACUCUGAGACAAAAAGAAAAAUGCUGGGUACAAGGAGGUCAGGAAAUCCAUGCUUGUCUUAAGUCAAUCUUUAUGCUGGAAUCAGUAGGGGCUGAAGCUCUGGGGACACUGGUCCAAAGGAGCAAGAAAAUCUCACACGCUGCUUCAUUUCUCAGAAAAUAUUAGCAUUCUUCCCGCUCCUCCUCCAGAAGGAACCAUUUGGGAUCCCUGAGAUAAACCCAACUGUUCUCUGGUGUUCCUCCUCUCUUAAUAAAGCUCAGCUCCCACAGCAGCUCCCCCGCUGCAGCAUCUGACACAGCUCACAGGGCUUUGAGGAGCUUUCCAGCUUCCUCCUCCUCCUCCUCACCACCCUACCUUUUAACUCUGCUUCCUUCAGCCCCACUCCCAGGCAUGAUGAACCUCCCCAGACUCUUGUUUUCUAGCAUUUUGGUGGACUGCCUGCCAUAACCUGCUCAAAUCUUCCUUUUUACAUUCUUUCUAUUCCCACAGCUCUUCUGACUCCUCUCAGAGGAGAGAAAACUCUGACAGGUUGAUUUUUUUUUCAGACCAGCUGCCUGUUGAUAAAUAAUGAUGCAACAUUUAGUGGAAAUUAACUGAUUGCAGGGGAAAGCAAGCCUGUAGUGAUCUGCAGAAAAACAAGGCAGGGAUCAUCCUUUCAAGCCUGAGCAAAGGAGUUUUGCUGGAUUAUUAGCUCACAGCAACAUCUGCAGUGGAAGCAGUUAAUAGCUGUAUUUAAAAAAAGAAUGAACAUAAGACUAGGAGCACUUUAAAAUAUCUGUUCUUAAUGUUGCUACGGAGACCUUUAUUGUAGCCACUGUAUGUGAUGUGCAUUGGUUAUGUUCCUCACAGGUAACAAUCCUCUCUCAGACUAUUAGAAAAUGACAAUACUCCCACUUGUACGAGGUGGUGGGAGUACACAGGUUGUGGAACUAAACAGCACUUGAGAGGAGCUUUACUCAGUUUUUCAACCCUUAAAAAUUUGUAGAUGUACAGUUUCAGCACUCCAUUAAGAGUUUCUUGCCUUUGCAGCUAUUCCUUGUUUAAUACAUUUUGCCUUUUUUAAAGCAGAAGGGCUUAGGAUCAGUGCUUAGGAUCAUUGUAAUUGGGGUGAUAAAUGCAGCAAUCCUAUUAUAAAAAUAAAGGUUAUCAUUCACUUGGCUUGCAGUGCAUGCAUUUGGAGCUCCCUCAGUAAAAUCUGAGUUGUUUCAACACAUAGCAUUCAAAUAAAAACUGCAUCAACUGCAUUAAAGAUUUUAUUUGUCUUUAAGCUGAGCUGAUAGGGUCACAGUACCAAUGGCAGAAAAUGUAUUGCUGGUACUCAUGUGGUUACAUGGACUGCUCUUUUCCAAUGACUUGAGAAAAUGUUGCUGAUCAAAAGCAGUUAAGUCAAAAUCUUGGAAAAAAAACCUCCAAGUUUUUAUUACCAUAUUCUAAGCGUUACCCAUUCCAAUAAAAAUAACAUUAUUUGGAAAUACAGCCUUCACAGAACUUCAGUUUCAUUUUGUAGAUGACAGUUUUCAUCUUCCUGGCUUUUUUUUUUUUUUUUUUUUUAAUUUUAAUGUUGAUUUGGAUUAAAUAAACUUGUACGGAUGACAAAUUUUAGCAGAAAUUAUUCAGGAACCCAAGCUUCUUUAAGGCUUAUUUCAGAGAAGUUUUAAAUUUCAUAGUGAAAAUAUUUGCUUCAGUUUUUCCAUUUGUUAGAUGUAGAGCUCAAUCAGUAAAUUAAAUAGAAGUGUAUAGGCUGCAUUUCAGGCAGCUGUGGGUUUAGAGACAUGCUUCUUAAAUUAGUGAAAUAACUGAAAAGUUGUAGGCUGGUAGUGGGAGGAAAUGCCAAUCUGCUGUGAUGCUGAGAACAACAAACAGGUUCCUCACUUGUUUUAGCCUGCAGACUGGAAUUUCACCUUCUCACUCAAUUCAGCAUCCUCAGCAUCACUGAAUGCUUAGAAAAGGAGUGGAAAUCAAACAGAUCCAAAACUGUACAAACUUUCAUGAGCUUUGCCUUCUGGCCUAAUGACACUACAGGAAUACAGUUUGUCCAGAAAAGGGGAAAUUGUUCUUCAGUUAAGAGGCAUUUGGAAUUUUUGCCUUGUCAGAUGUUUCGAAGUGAACAUGAAGAUCCUUGUUUUAAAUUGCCUUUCUGUCAGAGAUUUCCAAAUCUUAUUACAAUCCCCCAAUCUGCUGAUUUUCCUUACUAUUUUUGUUACUUAUUGUUGUCACUUCCUUUGUGUAGGCGGUUCACUUAGCCCAUUCCCCUGUAAUGUUUUAUGCACAAAUAAGAAAGUGUUAAAGGAAGUGUUAAAAAUGUAUGGCCUAGAAUCUGUGUCAAAGGAUAAGGCCAGAGCUCACUGCUACUACAGAGAUAAUACAGUUUGCCAACCUGCAAAAUAUUUGUGACAUUGCAAAUUGCUUCUGUCCUCUCAAAUGUAUCACUUGAGUGUGGAACGUGAGGUUGUGUUUCUGGCUGAAUUUAAAUUUGGCUUGCUCUGAACAGCAGCAGCACAGACAGAGUAGUAUGAAACCAGACUAUUAAAUAAAGUCUAAAGGGAGAAUGACAGGAAUUGUAAUGUUAUGCUUUCUCAGCUGAAAUGUGUUACUAAUGCCAUUUACAGAGAUUUCAAUAAUAUAGCUAUUUGUCUUACAUAGUUAAACAAACUAACUCAUGCUAUUACAAAUAUGUAGCCCAAAUUCAUAUGUAUAUGUAUUAAAAUACAAACAUAUGUACAUAUAUUAGAAUUAUAGUUCAGAUAUAGUUGCAAUGAUCAUAAUUUGUCAUUAAACGUGGCCUUUGGGACAUCUUCUGAGAAAAUCUACUUGAGUUUGUGCAGAAAUAUGCCGUGAAGGGAACAAAACUGUGUGUGUAUAGAUUAGCCUUGGGAGCCCACAUGCAUUUUUCAUUCUCUGUAUACAAAAGCAUCAAUACAGGCAGGAGAAGACUAUUGUGAAAACCUAGUUAGUAGGACAAAACAGAAAUAAGAGUAUGUAAAUAAAUGUUUCCAUUUACCUUUCCUGA